UACGUAGGAGGCAAGCGUUGUCCGGAAUUACUGGGCGUAAAGCGCGUGUAGGUGGUGGGACAAGUCUGCUGUGAAAGCGCCUGGCUUAACCGGGCGAGGUCGGCGGAAACUGUCCGACUCGAGGACGGUAGAGGGGGGUGGAAUCCCGGUGUAGUGGUGAAAUGCGUAGAGAUCGGGAGGAACACCUGUGGCGAAGGCGGCCCCCUGGGCCGGUACUGACGCUGAGACGCGAAAGCGUGGGAGCAAACAGG
rnacentral:rRNA from 1 species